rnacentral:lncRNA from 1 species
UGGUCGGGUUGUUGUCUCUUUGACACAUUCCCCAUUUCCAUUCUCAAUUUUAUAAUAAAAGGAACAGAGAAUUUUUUUCAAUAAAAUAAAAAAAUAAGGGAAUGAAGAUCCUCAUUGAUUUAGCAGUCAUGGAAAAAGUGUAUACCUUUGAUCUUUAAAGCUUUUGGUAUGUUUAGAUUUACAGUGUUCAUAGAUAUAUUUUAAGCUUCUGAAUAACACAGAUUAAUUGACUGCUCUUUUUACACUUUAAACAGGCAUUGAUGAAACUGGCUAUUACACAAGCAUUAUUACUUUUAAAGGACUUAAUUCCCUUAGAUAAAGCUGUAAUAUGAUUGGUUAAUUAUUGUUUGCUCAAUUUCCAGUGGCAAAUAUUUCAAUAAUGUUCAGAAAGUUAUGAAUUUAUCUAUUUAUGAUCUUAAUGUAUGACAGGUUAAGAUAGCCAAUAGAGUCAUGUCGCAUAUUACAUAAUGCAAAUAUGAUGGAAUAUGACUUGACUAUAUAGUAAUUUUGUAAUCUUUAAUAUUUUUUAUGGUUAGUACAGAAC